ACUUAAAUAGCUUAUACAGAGCAUAAUAUUGAAGAUAUUAGGGUAAAUGAUUGAUUUUUUAAGUA
rnacentral:tRNA from 1 species